UGAAACUUGUUUGUUCGACA
rnacentral:misc_RNA from 1 species